rnacentral:snRNA from 1 species
AAGUGCCUCAAAAGGAAUAAA